rnacentral:miRNA from 1 species
AAGCCUGAGGAGGAGAAGGCUUGACUGACUCAUCCUGAUUACCAUCCCCUUUUAUCCCUCAGCAAUCGA